rnacentral:piRNA from 1 species
UAGAGUAAUAUUGGCUUUUAAAUGUACAUU